rnacentral:rRNA from 1 species
CCCUUAGAUGUUCUGGGCCGCACGCGCGCUACACUGACGGAUUCAACGAGCUUACAACCUUGGCCGAAAGGUCUGGGUAAUCUCCAAAAUCCGUCGUGAUGGGGAUAGAUUAUUGCAAUUAUUAAUCUUCAACGAGGAAUGCCUAGUAAGCGCAAGUCAUCAGCUUGCGUUGAUUACGUCCCUGCCCUUUGUACACACCGCCCGUCGCUCCUACCUAUUGAAUGGUCCGGUGAAGCGUUUGGACUAUGGUUUUCUGAUGGUCCGCCGUUGGAUUACCGUGGGAAGUUCGUUAAACCUUAUCAUUUAGAGGAAGGAGAAGUCGUAACA